UCCCCGCUGGUGUAACGGUAGCACGAAUGACUCUGGAUCAUUCAGUCCACGUUCGAAUCGUGGGUGGGGAA
rnacentral:tRNA from 1 species